UAUAGUGACGUCACUAGUUAAGGUCCUCAGGGAUAAAAGGUCUAGAGACUGAAAUCUGCGUCAAAUUAGCAAACCCUUUAUCUAAAAGACAUUUAUAUGGCGUACCAUGCGUGAUAAAUUGUCGAUAGAUAUGCCAUGUAACGGUGUGACGCCUCAGUGCUCAAAUUUAUAGUUCAUUGAUUUUUGGCUGCAGGUAGCUGAUUGGUGAACAGAUUCCUCCAAUCUGAUUGGUGAUAAAAUAACCUUUGACCCAAUUUUCCGUUUCGUCAGUGUGGGGAGGGCGGUUCAAGGUGGUGUAAAGAAAUUGACUGCACCAUCAUGUCAGGUACCAGUAUGAGGCGGAUGGUGCUGGGGGUUGGGGCAUUUGCUGCUGUUGUUGGUGGAGUUAUGUACCCAAUCUUUGUGGCACCGCUUCUGAACACACAACAAUAUCAGAACAUGCAGAAACAAAACAGAGCUGGUAUAAAACAGGAAGAGAUCCAACCAGGAGGAAUGGUUGUGUGGAGUAACCCAUUUGGAGAAAAGAAGGACUAGAAGAAAGACAGCUGACAAGCCAACUGGAAUAAUCUAAUGUGAAUUUAGAGAUGUAUAUAGAAGGCUUUCUGAAAUUUGUUUAGUAGGAUAAGUAGAGUGUUUCUGGGUCUAUGUUGUGUUCAAACAUGAACAAAUGUCAUAAAAAUGAUUUUUCUGCCAAAAAUUGCUGUAAUCAGAUACAUCAGAAUGGAUUGUAAAAACGUUCAUGUUACAAUACUAUAGUAUACUAUUCCAGGUUUUAUCCUAUAACUUAUAAGAAUGUAGGAAAUCAAAUCAAAAAUCAAUCUCUCUGAAGGACCAUCUUGGAUGUUGAUACAAAAUAUGGUUUCAAACAAGUUCUUCCAACACAUUUAUUUGUUAUCAUGUACAUUUGGUAUCUUCUUAAUUGAUAUUCACCACAUUUGAAUGUUAAGUUUAUUGUAGCAAGCAUGUUCAAGUAAGGAAGGCAUUUUUUGUAUUGUAAAUUUAUUAUCCAUGCUAAGGUAAUGAAACAUUUACAUGAUCAUGAACAAAUCAAGUUCUAAUAAAUACUUGGUACACGGUUUGCAUUGUAUCAGUGGAGCGUACCAAUACUUAAUACAUAAUUCCAUCAUCUUGA